UGGGGAAUAUUGCACAAUGGGCGAAAGCCUGAUGCAGCAACGCCGCGUGAGUGAUGAAGGCCUUCGGGUUGUAAAGCUCUGUCUUCUGGGACGAUAAUGACGGUACCAGAGGAGGAAGCCACGGCUAACUACGUGCCAGCAGCCGCGGUAAUACGUAGGAGGCAAGCGUUGUCAGGAUUUACUGGGCGUAACGGAUGCGUAGGCGGAUACUUAAGUCAGUUGUGAAAAUCCCGGGCUUAACUUGGGAACUGCAUUUGAAACUGGGUAUCUAGAGUGGGGGAGAGGAAAGUGGGAUUCCUAUGGUAGCGGUGAAAAGCGUAGAGAUUAGGAAGAACACCAGUGGCGAAGGCGACUUUCUGGACCGUAACUGAGGCUGAGGCAUGAAAGCGUGGGGAG
rnacentral:rRNA from 1 species